UCGACAUUUCGAACGCACAUUGCGGUCCUCGGAUACUGUUCCCGGACCACUCCUGGCUGAGGGUCG
rnacentral:rRNA from 4 species